UACAGAGGUCCCAAGCGUUGUUCGGAUUCACUGGGCGUAAAGGGUGCGUAGGUGGUGAGGUAAGUCGGAUGUGAAGUCUCCGAGCUCAACUCGGAAAUGGCAUUGGAAACUACCUUGCUAGAGGGUUGGAGGGGGGACUGGAAUACUUGGUGUAGCAGUGAAAUGCGUAGAUAUCAAGUGGAACACCAGUGGCGAAGGCGAGUCCCUGGACAACUCCUGACACUGAGGCACGAAAGCUAGGGGAGCAAACAGG
rnacentral:rRNA from 1 species